UAUAAUCCACCACAAGGCUCAGCAAUACAAUCAACAGUUCCACUAAUUAUGGUCGUGUUUGUUUGGGCUUCUCUGCAGCUUGUGGCCACCAGAAUCCGCGUGGGCCAUCCAAACGCGCUGAUUCUUCAGUAGCGUUCCACCGAAGCGCUUCACAGAGAAGUUGGUCCGCAACGGUCCAAGAAAAGCGGCCACAACCUCGCUUCUCCGGAAAGCUGAGCUGCUUGUGCGGGGCUGUGGAGAAGAUUCCCCGUGAUCUCCAAUCCGGCUUCAAUUCUCUAGUUAUUCUUGGCGCUUGGAGCCUUUGGCGUCAUCGCAAUGACUGUGUGUUCAAUGGGAGAUCACCGAGCCUGGCGAGUGCUCUCACCCUCGCUGGCGAUGAGCUCAGGAUGUGGUGUAGUGCCGGGGCGAAAGGGUUGAACCUGCUUUCAACUCUUAUGUUUAUGCUUGACCCAGGGGGAUAGUCUAGUGGCUUGUUCAGAGUGGUUGUGUGCGGUUGCUGUGUUGCGUCUUGUGUCUUGUUGUGUCAUGUGUGUGUCGUGUGUGUUGUGUUGUACCUUCUUCUAUCUAUUAAUGGAAUGAUACGCAGAUCUCCUGCGUGUUCGAGAA